GAUGAACGCUGGCGGCGUGCUUAACACAUGCAAGUCGAACGGACAGGCCCAAGCUUUCUUGGGUUCUCGAGUGGCGAACGGGUGAGUAACACGUGUGUAUUCUGCCCUUCACUUCGGGAUAAGCCUAGGAAACUGGGUCUAAUAUCGGAUAGGACCUCAUUUUGGAUGUUGUGGUGUAGAGUUUUUCGGUGUGGGAUUAGCUCGCGGCCUAUCAGCUUGUUGGUGGGGUAAUGGCUUACCAAGGCGUCUACGGGUGGCCGGCCUGAGAGGGUGUACGGCCAUAUUGGGACUGACGGAAGGCCGCGGCUGCUAAGGGAGGCAGAUGGGGGGAAGACUGACCAAGGGGCGCAAGCCUGGUGCAGCGACGCCGCGGGGCGGAUGACGGUCUUAGGGGUGUAAAACAAAUUCGUAAGGGACGAAGCGUUAUGUGACGGUACCUGGAGAAGAAGCACCGGCUAACUACGUG
rnacentral:rRNA from 1 species